GGGUGCUCUAAUCUGCUGCUUUUCCAUUUGUUCCUCUUUUCUGGAAGCCAGCUUCUAUCAAGGGUGGAUAACUAGGCACGGGCAGCGUGAAAACUGGUACUUCAACCCUCAGUACCUUUCCCCACCCGUUUUCAUUUAUUAAAUCUGUAACAUUACAUUUAGGCCUCCCUAUCAGGUUCAAUGGGUUCUUUAGGAAACAAGAAUUUAAAGUACCUCUAGCAUUAGUGAUGAAUAACUAUUUUACUACAUUUUAUUAAAAAAAGUUACUCAAAAGCACAGUAUUUAAGCAAGUUAGGUGACAAAUGUCAGAGAAGAGGAUUAUUUAUUGUUUUUAGCAACUUUUCUCCUUUUUGGCAAGAAUCCUUUGGAAGAAACGGGUCAGUUUCAUGCUGCUGUUGAGAAACAUCCCAAAGACUGUGUUGGUGUUUUAGUCUGUUUUCUACAUAAGGAGUGUUUCGUGAAAGACACGCCCAAACAGCACAAGACCAGAGCUUGGGAACCUCAAUCUGUUCCAGAAACCAGAGUUCCCACAUAACUACAUAAUGUGCUGCUAUCAGGUUACAGGCUCACCACAAUUGCCUAAUGUAACAUUGAGUUCGGGGCGCUGCCGCGGGGAGGUGUAAUUACCAGGGGGAUGGCUCAGGCCGAGUGGUUGCAGUGCUCAGGAAUUAAUGUGCACAACUUAUGGGCAGACCAGUGCUCCACCUCAAUCUUCAAACCUUGGAUAUCCAGGAUUCAACUUCCCAAGGUCCUACCCUCCUCUCUAAGGGGGCAGUGGACGAUGAGCAUGUGAAUCUGCAAAGUGUUUUACUGGAUGAUGUCUAUCCACCUCACAAUCUCUACAAUUCUGGAAGUGGCAUUUUACUUCGUUUGAAUUCAAAUCUCUCCACAUUCUUUCUAAGAAUAUACUGACUCCUUUAUGCAUGGAAAACUUGGUUUGGAGUAGGGAGAGGGUAGUUUCCCCAACAAAAAUAUUGGGCAAGUUACUAUGUAUGUAUUAAGUGAAGAGAGGUAAAGGGAUAGAGAAAAAAAAGUGGAAAAAGUAGAAUCUCUUUCUCUCUCUCUUUUCUCCCCUCCCGCCCCCCACUGGGCUCUCCCUGUCUCUUCUAUCAAUUUGCAAAAUUACUCAUUGGAAGCUGAACUAUGGAGGUUGGGCCACCUUAAUUGGGUUUCCAAAGAUUGAGUUGAAUUGUGUCUCUUGGUGGCAUAUAGCUUGUUACCAGGGAGGGCCCUUUAAAGAUUGUAAAAUGACAGUUUGUUUUCUCUGCCUUAUCAACCUGACCUCAUAGAUCCAUAAAUCUCCCCAAGCUGCAGGUUCAAAGCUGAGCUAAUGGUCAUGAUUCAUAUUUCAAGGGUCCAUGUGUGUGAAGAGGGACCUUCCGCCUCCCCCAG